rnacentral:rRNA from 1 species
GGGGAAUUUUCCGCAAUGGUCGAAAGCCUGACGGAGCAAGACCGCGUGAGGGAGGAAUGCCUUAGGGUUGUAAACCUCUUUUCUCAGGGAAGAAGCUCUGACGGUACCUGAGGAAUAAGCCUCGGCUAACUCCGUGCCAGCAGCCGCGGUAAGACGGAGGAGGCAAGCGUUAUCCGGAAUUAUUGGGCGUAAAGCGUCCGCAGGCGGCCUUGUAAGUCUGCUGUCAAAGAGUGGAGCUCAACUCCAUAGAGGCAGUGGAAACUGUAAGGCUUGAGUGUGGUAGGGGCAGAGGGAAUUCCAGGUGUAGCGGUGAAAUGCGUAGAGAUCGGGAAGAACAUCGGUGGCGAAAGCGCUCUACUGGACGGUAACUGACACUCAGGGACGAAAGCUAGGGGAGCGAAAGGGAUUAGAUACCCCAGUGGUC